CCAGCCUCAGCUCUCAGCCCCGGCUCCCAGCCCCGGCUCUUCCGAAGGGAGCACAGCCGAGCCGGUAGCCCCGCGGUGGCGAGCCCGGCUCCAGCUGCAGGGUUUCGAGUCGGGAAACUUGAGCCUCGCUCUCCCAGUGAAGGUGGCGGUAAAGCUGGGGGUCCCUUGAGCUCCAGAUUUCCACAGCAGACACAGCUGACUGAUUUAUUUAGCAUCUCAUCUUCUUUCUAAAGACCCUAAAUGGAAUUAUACUGAGUCCUUAUCCAAGUGCAACUGGGCCAAGUGACCUUUUCUUCUGUGAAAACUGCUUCAAAAAUGGAAUAUUAUACCUGGUUCUUCUGCUGCAAUUAAUCUGGAUUUACAGCUAAGAGCCCUUAGAUUUCAUCAAGAUGAAGAUUCCUGGCCUUUACUGGUAGUUUUAAUCCCAUUUUACUAAGAUUAGGAUUCAUUUUUGAUUAAGCCUUGUGUACAUGUAUCCAGUUUCUAGAGUUCAAUGUAUUCGGGAAUAUUAUUUCAUCCUGUGUAAGAGAGGACUCUCCUGACUAGCAUUUCUCAUCCUACAUGAUAUCUUAUCUACUGUAAACUGAGUUGUCCGAUCCAGAAGGAGUGUAUGUAUGGAAAAACCUUUUCUUCCUUUGCUUGCAUGGUGUUCUUCUUUGUGUUAUUGAUUAAAAUCCAACUUAAAUCAAUGAAAAGAAUCUGAGUUCAAUGAAUGGCUGUUGGAUCUUGAAAGUGCCUGAAUAUUUAAGGAACUAACAGAAGGUGCUCAGCAUGACAAGUCCCCUUUCCUUGUCAAUGUCUAGUUCAAGUACAGCGUCAUAGCAAGGAGAUGAGAGUCUCUGUUUUAAGGACAGUUUAUGAACAGGAUGCACAGUUAUCUGUAGGGAGUCAUGGAUAGAACAAUGGCUUCAUGAGUGCUAGGGGGCAGUUCUUUACUUCUCAAAACAUUGCUCAUCCAGCUGAAAUUAGUCCAGCAUGUGAAAAAAGAACCUCUCCUGCAAGGGCACAGUGGGCAGAGAAAGAAUCUUUUAUGAACUCUUUUUAUUUGUUUUCUGUCUUGCCUAGGCACUGUUAAUUGAAAUCCUCUACUUUAAAAGCUAAUAAAAUCUACUUUUCCUGUAUUUGAAGGUAAUUUACUAUCCUUUUUUGGCAGCUCUGUGUAAGAAAAAGGUCUUGGUCUGUCCACUCUACAUGAUUUGGCUUUCCAUCACAAUUCUUGUCAUAGAGCAGUGUCAUUUCUUUUCUGGUAUGCAAAGGAAUUGUGUUGCCAAAAGAAAAUUUCCAAAUAAAAGAAUUAAUAUAUAUAUUCUGUAUAAAAAUUAUCUAUUGUCUCAUAUGCUCUGUGCUACUGAAUAGGACUUGACAACCUGUUUUUUUCUCCUAUUUUUCAGCACACAUUAACCUUCUGUCUCUCUUUCAUUAUAAACAAAGAGAAUAUAAUUUGCUGCCUUCUUUACUCUUUCUCUUUUUUUACAAAGUUCUGUAUUUUAAAUAACUAAAUCAUUGAAAGCAUCACAGAAUAUCCAAGAUCAAUAUAACACAUCAUCUUCCAUAAUACAGCUAUGCCAUGUUUAAAUUCUAGUCUAUAUUCUCUCUAGUACUCUAUACAGUCUUUAGUACUGUUAUGGCACAUCAGAUAGGUUAUUACUAUUUAAAUUAGCCAAAUAAUGAACACUGUAGAGGUGUUCAUUCAGCCCAAUAUUGUAUCACUCUGGCUGUAUGGAAAAAUUCCCUCAUAUAAAUGGUAUCACAUAAAGGGCAAUGUCUGUUAAAUAAAAGCAUAUAUCAAAAUAGGAUCUAACUAAGAAUCAAUAUCAAUGCGUCCCAUUUUCACAUCAUAAGCAUAUAUAAGUGUGUCAGUCACAAGAAAUAUAUUGUGUCCUUUUCUGUUUGUAAUUGCAACAUCAUUGCUUACCUACAGCAAGUUAUAGAGCAUGCCUUCAGGCAUGAAUUGUCCUUAAAAUAAAAUUCUACUGUAUUAUUACUUUAUAUUGACAGUCUUUGUAAAGGUGGUGUCUUGGAAGCUGAAGCUGUGUAAUAAAAUUUGCAUGCCGCCUAAACACAACUCCUAAGCAGUUUCUUUAAGUUCAGAAAAAAUUACCCUUGUUUUAGUUCAAACUACAGAGAAAGAUAUAUCUGCCAAGAGGGUCUACAUAGGGAGCAGAAAGAAGAAAGUAGAUUGGUGAGGUAGACAGGGUAGAGUUCUGCAGAUGAGUUUCAUGAGAAAGAAGGAAGUAUUUUCACGUUAAGAAAAGGUACUAUGUGAGUUACAGAGCUGGCAUUCAGUUAAGAUGUUUG